rnacentral:rRNA from 1 species
AUUGAACGCUGGCGGCAGGCCUAACACAUGCAAGUCGAACGGUAACAGGAAGAAGCUUGCUUCUUUGCUGACAAGUGGCGGACGGGUGAGUAAUGUCUGGGAAACUGCCUGAUGGAGGGGGAUAACUACUGGAAACGGUAGCUAAUACCGCAUAACGUCGCAAGACCAAAGAGGGGGACCUUCGGGCCUCUUGCCAUCGGAUGUGCCCAGAUGGGAUUAGCUAGUAGGUGGGGUAACGGCUCACCUAGGCGACGAUCCCUAGCUGGCCUGAGAGGAUGACCAGCCACACUGGAACUGAGACACGGUCCAGACUCCUACGGGAGGCAGCAGUGGGGAAUAUUGCACAAUGGGCGCAAGCCUGAUGCAGCCAUGCCGCGUGUAUGAAGAAGGCCUUCGGGUUGUAAAGUACUUUCAGCGGGGAGGAAGGGAGUAAAGUUAAUACCUUUGCUCAUUGACGUUACCCGCAGAAGAAGCACCGGCUAACUCCGUG